GUAUGAGGGUUUUGGUAAUUCUGUAUUAGAUACUGACUUCAUAGAAAGAAGUAGGGAGUGCUUCUUCUGUUUUUAUACUUGUAAUAUUUUAAGAAGGAUUGAAUGUAGAUCAUUGUUAAAAGUCUACUUCAAUCAUGCUGUGAAUCCAUAUUAUACUUUUAAGCCUUUACAUCAAUAUACCAGUUUGUCUGUCAUGUGUAAUGUAUAUGAAAAUGUUUUAUCCAGUCCUGACAUUUCUCAAAGUAGUUUUAUCACUAAUGCUCCUGAAAGGUCAAAUAAAAACCUGUUCCAUAGAACUUGAAGCAGUGACAGUAUGAAGCCUCAGGCAACUAUUUUUUUUUAAUGUUAAAGGUUAGUGUUAAAAUUUAUAAGUUAUCUAACAUUAACACUUCCAUUGAUACAUUCUCAAACUGUUCACUUUGAUGUGCCAGGACGAUUUUUUUUUAUUAUCUGUGUUCUUAAAUAUGUCCCUUCAUAAUAAGUAUGGACAGAGUCAUUCUUCUGGAAUAUUUAUGUAUACAUGUACACAAGUUGUGAACUUGGUUUUGGUUCUCAGCUCUAAUAACAUACUAUACUUUAAAGAAAAUAUUUACCAAUUCUAAUUUUAUGUUAUUUAUUUAUUCUCACAAUCACUGGCUUAUAUUAUGAUUCAAAUCAUAAAUGCCACCUGAAACUCAUGUUUUAGACUCCAUACUUAGUUGAUGGUGUUCUUGUAAGUUGGUGAAAACUCCCAAAAUGAGAACUAAUGGAAUGAAGUAAGACAUUGGGUAAUUUUUUAGCAUAGAUAAAACUGUCUUAAUACACUCAAUUUCACAGAUAUGCAUUUUUAAUAUAUGAGCCUAUAAAGAAGAUACAAUUACAUACACCAUUAAUGAUAAUUAGGAAUGAUGUAUCUCUUAAUUAAAAACAAAGAAGUAUAAGAAUAUAUGCACAACCUUUCCAUGUUCUUUCUAUUACAGAGAGGUACUUACUUAGGCUGACCUUACCUAUGCUACAUACUGUACUAAAGCCCAGGGG
rnacentral:lncRNA from 1 species